AAGGAAUAUUGGUCAAUGGACGCAAGUCUGAACCAGCCAUGCCGCGUGGAGGAUGAAGGCCCUCUGGAUUGUAAACUUCUUUUAUCUGGGACGAAACACUCCUAUUCUUAGGGGCCUGACGGUACCAGAUGAAUAAGCACCGGCUAACUCCGUGCCAGCAGCCGCGGUAAUACGGAGGGUGCAAGCGUUAUCCGGAUUCACUGGGUUUAAAGGGUGCGUAGGUGGGUAUGUAAGUCAGUGGUGAAAUCCCCGAGGUUAACUUGGGAACUGCCGUUGAUACUAUAUAUCUUGAAUGCCGUAGAGGUAAGCGGAAGAUGUCAUUUAGCGGUGAAAUGCUUAGAGAUGACAUAGAACACAAAUCGCGAAGGCAGCUUACUAUGCGGUGAUUGACACUGAUGCACGAAAGCGUGGGUAGCAAAC
rnacentral:rRNA from 1 species